rnacentral:rRNA from 1 species
AAAGGAAUAGACGGGGGCCCGCACAAGCAGUGGAGUAUGUGGUUUAAUUCGAAGCAACGCGAAGAACCUUACCAGGGCUUGACAUACCAAUGACCGGGUUAGAGAUAACCCUUCCCUUCGGGGCAUUGGAUACAGGUGGUGCAUGGUUGUCGUCAGCUCGUGUCGUGAGAUGUUGGGUUAAGUCCCGCAACGAGCGCAACCCUUGUCGUUAGUUGCCAUCAUUAAGUUGGGCACUCUAACGAGACUGCCGGUGACAAAUCGGAGGAAGGUGGGGAUGACGUCAAAUCAUCAUGCCCCUUAUGUCCUGGGCUACACACGUACUAAAAUGGCGAUUACAGAGGGGGGCAAGACCGCGAGGUGGAGCAAAUCCCCAAAAGUCGUCCCAGUUCGGAUUGCAGGCUGAAACUCGCCUGCAUGAAGUAGGAAUUGCUAGUAAUGGCAGGUCAGCAUACUGCCGUGAAUACGUUCCCGGGCCUUGUACACACCGCCCGU